UACAGAGGUGGCAAGCGUUGUUCGGAAUUACUGGGCGUAAAGCGCGCGUAGGCGGCUUUGCAAGUCGGGUGUGAAAUCCCCAGGCUUAACCUGGGAACUGCAUUCGAGACUGCAUUGCUAGAGUAUGGGAGAGGGAAGUGGAAUUUCCGGUGUAGCGGUGAAAUGCGUAGAUAUCGGAAGGAACAUCAGUGGCGAAAAGCGACUUCCUGGACCAAUACUGACGCUCAUGUGCGAAAGCGUGGGGAGCAAACAGG
rnacentral:rRNA from 1 species